UAGUAGAACCUGUCUUUGCAUAUCGAUUGCUGAAUUUACAACAGCUGCUUUGUAAUAUUUUACACUGUAAUGGAUAUUUAUCUGCCUGCUCCAAACUCUAAAAAUAGACAUAUUUUGCUUUUGUUUUCUGUCAUUGUCUAUUUUACACUGUAAUGUAUAUUUAUCUUGUCUGAGCUCUCAGAGCUUGCAUAGCCCUUUGUCAUAUGUACUUUUAUUGAAGUAAAUUACCCAUGAUGCAUAAUACUCAUAACAUGGUUUGCGCUUUUCAGGUUCUGUUCUCGGAUAUAAAUGCUGACGAGGUAAACUAACUGAUUUCUGCAUAAGUACAAAUACUUUUACCCUUGUGUUGAGUCCUACAAUUUCUGACUCAACUUAUAUGACAAAAUAUUUUUUGGCCGUGACAGAGCCCUAUUUAGUUUAUGUUUGGAUCAAAGUACAAAUAUUCUUGAUACAGAAACCGAUUGUUAGAAUAUGUCCUCUGAUCAUCCAUCCUUUACUGAAAAUUGGCACAUCACAUAUGCAGAUAGUGUUCAUGCAAUCUGAAAUUUAGAGACAGGUCAUGUUCUAUGCAGAUAGUGUCCAUAUCUAGAUACAGAUAGCGUUCAUGCAAUCUCAUAUUCCAUUGUAUGAAUGUUUUAUAUCACUUAGUGGAAUUUUAGAGACUUAGAGUUGUUCAUUGUCUUUAGAGAAUCAAGUUAAUUAUAGGUAAUAGGCAUUUAUUUAGCAUUUUGACAGGCAUUUUGCUGGUAACAUUGUGAUAUGUACAGCUCAUGCCUUUAUUAUUGGUUAAUGUUGCAGAUUUCCCCCUAGAUACUGAUUGGAUGGUGCUCUUGUCAAGGUUUUGCAGCUAAUACUCACUAACACCCACUCGUAUUCUCUUGUCAACUUGUCGCUAAUUGGAUUUUCCUAUUGCAUUUCAGCCAUCCUGCAAGGCUUAGGCAGCAUACUUGGUGGUGUCGACAAGUUAAAACUGCUCAUCGAAGCUAUGUUCUGUUUUGGACCCAAUGAGCUUUAGGUGUUAGUGAGCUAAGCUUUUGGUUACAAAUGGUGAAUGUAUGUCUUUUGGUCACAUGAGGUAGAGAUAUGGAUGUCGAUGGCUUGCUUAUGCUCUG
rnacentral:lncRNA from 1 species